GUUCAAAGGUUCCAGGGAGCUUGUUGGACACUCUCAGGACAGGAUACGGUGGCUUCAGAUGUGACCCAGUCCCUGGAGCCUUGGAAAGGGAAGGGGCGGCUGAAUGUGGUGCUGAACCAAGACAGCCAGCUGUGAUUGGGAGCAUUUCCUGGACCCGGGAAGGGAGAGUAUUCCUACAAGGUAAGCUGGAACAAUCCUACCUGCUCUGUUUUAUGUCUCUAGUGAGGCUGCAGGGGAUUUGGGGGAAGAAGAUGAGACAUGUGUCCAUUCUCAGACUCUUGUAUCAUGUGAAAUUACAUUCAGUUGAGUAGUCAUCUCUGCUGACUUGUGUGGAAAGCAAAGAAAUAAAAAUCAAUUAGAAAGGGGCAGAGACAUCAUGCGAGCAGCAGAAAGAAUUGGAAGGAAACAUUAAUUCCAGUAAGUGCACUAAAACAGAAUUAAAGCCUUUAGAGGUUAAAGACAAAACCAGGAUGUGGGUUUCUUCAUCUUCCAUUCAGAAAUUUCUGUCCCUGCCUGAGUAGAAGGGCUAUUCGCCCAACUGCUGAUGUUAGAGAUUCUCAUUUGGAAGGGAGAAAGAGAAGGGAAUCUUUGCAGACAUUCUAUUAAGUACAGGGGACCAUCCUAAAGAUGGUAAAAUAAGUAGCCUGUAAGGUCGAUGGUGCCAUCCCCAUUUCAUAGGCAGAUUAAACAUUUCUGCGUAGUGAGGUGGCACAGCCUGGGCCACACAGCCAGGAGGUGGUGUGGCUUGGACUUGAAUCCUCAUCAAUCUGUCUCUGUAGCCUGCUCUACAAUGCAGAAUUCUUGUGUGUUGUCAAAACUUUCUUCUCUGGAAUCUCAAGAGUAUCACUCCUGUGUACAGAGGAUUGGCUAGGAACACAGUGCUGAUGAGACUUUGGAGAAACACAGACCUUUCUGAACUUGAGCAUUCCAUUUUGGAGGAAAUCAGUUUUGUUUUUUUAAUAAGGCUUUUUCUUCUGCUGACCCUGAGCCCUGCCUCUGGAUGGUAAAGGAAGACAGGCCUGGAGAGGAGCUCAGUGGUAUUAGUGACUGAGGAUUGACAUUCACUCUGCUAUCCACUGCACUCCUCUGGAGGAAUCUGAGCUCCUGAAACUUAAGGCCAAAUAUUCCUCCAAGACAAAAUGCCAGCAGACUGUCUUUCAACUUUCUCCCCUGUCCAAAAGGGGUUCCUGCGAGGCCAAGGGGCCAGACCUUAUAUUCUCUGAGAUCGUAGCACGGAGCACCCUGGAUUUUUUCAUCUGGGGCUUUAAGAAACUCCGCUCUGUUGAGAGUAAAAAAAUUCUAAUCUAGAUUUAGUGUAGAGCAGGCUCCCACUGAACUUCCUGUGAGCCUUCCUGGAAGGAUCAAGGCUGGGAAAAUGCUGCUUAAUUCUGCAGUGUCUGUAAGGUCCCGUGGGGUGAGCAGGUGGGAAGGGAUAGGAGAGCUUAUUUCUGCUCCCACAUCUGGGGACGGCAGCUCUGCUACCACAGCCUUAAGCAAAUCAAAGGAGACUGCUAUACAUCCUGGUAAUACCGGGGAGUCAGAGAGGUGGCCAAGUGCACUUUUCACUUAAAUUUGGAGGUGCAAGAGGCUGAGCCGAUGUGACAGAGGAAAAGGAACCAUGUCAACUGAGUGGCUCCCCGCCCCCGUCAUCCUCGCCUUGCUUGUUCAUUUUGCUGCUUUUGUGGGAACAGCUUUGGGGACAGAGGCCAGCAACUCUGGGGUCUGGAGAGAGGGGUAACUUGGAGCAAGGGGUGACAAGGUCUCGGGAUGGAUCUGCGGGGGGAGAUUCCCGGAGCUGGACUUUUCUGUCUUGCAAAUUUAGCAGGGACAACGUCACCUCCGCCUCUCUGACACUCGUUGUCCUCUGGGGGCACCUCCAAUCGUUUUAAUUUGGCUUUUCCGUCUUAGUUGAGAGACAGUCACGGGGGACAGGGUGAAUUGCGUUGAUGCAAGCUGGCUUUAGUUUCAGCCCUGAGGGGCUGGGGUUAAAGGCUUUGAAGACGAGCCAGGGUAACUUUGGCGGCUCCUCUCCUCCUGCUCAGAACGCUUCCACUUUCAGUUGUGAAAGAAAAACCAGGAAGUGAAGUCCCCAGCACGUUAGAAAGCCGGCCAUGGCCCCACGCAGAACGGCUCGGGACAGGGCAGACCUGGGGGUGCUCUGAGCCAGGCUGCCUGCCUGCAUGGACGCUCUGAAGCCUCCCUGUCCCUGGAGGAACCAGGGCUGAGGGAACAGGACAGGAGGAAAUUGGACCCAGGAAGCCCCGUUGGCUGGAAGCACUAAGACGUUCAGCCCUUCACAGGGUAAGGGGGACAUCUAGGGGUGUGAUCAGCAAGGGGUCCUGGGAGCAUGUGGCAGGGGCAUCCUGGCCCCCAACUCCAGCAAAGCAGCUUGGGCUCCGGGCUUGCUCUGUCCCACGUGCGUAUCAUGCUCUCUUUAAGCCGUCUGUUUUCAGGAGGGGUGAGGGGAAGGGGAGUCGGGGGCAUGGACGAGACUUCCUCCUGCCCCUCUUUUAGUGGGCCUGAGCAUCGGGCAUGUCUCCCCUGUGGCUGGCUGGGGUCACCCUCAUUUUUCAUCAGCCUUUGACUCCCUCUCAUGGUCAGAGCCGAUGAAUGGGACUACUGAGAUGGAAGAGACUGAUGGCAGUUUCUGAACGAAGUUGGAUUUCUUUUCAGGGGUAGGACCACAGGUUAGACCUAAGAUGAACUGGAAGGAUCUUCAGGGAGUGAGUAUUAGGAAGGGGCUUUGCAGUUAGACCUUAGUUACCCUCUGUGUUUAUCAACCUGAAAACUCCAAAGUGUAGCUGGUUGGUAUUCUAUAAACAGAAGCACAGUGUUAAAAAGGAAAGAAAAUAAAGUAUAACAUAUAAUGAAAAAUAAAAUAAAAUAAUAAAAGGCUAAUUUAGUAUUAACAAAUAAAAGUGAAAUAAUUGAUUUUGCUUGAUCCCUCCCUCUAUAUUCUAGCAUGGAGUCACUCUGUGGUGGGUCCCCUCUCAGUGACAGGUAUUUGAGUAUCACUUCUGGGCUUAGCAUAGUGAAAGGAAUAGUACCUAGAUAGUGGUUGGUAUGUGGUCAGGUGCUGAUGGUAGGGUUGCUAGCAAAAUUCCGAGGAGGCAGGCCCCAGAUAAACAUGCAGAUCAAUUUUUAAAAGGAAAAGGAACAUUAUCCAGAUCAAAUCAAAUGUAUUAGCCAAGCAUUUGGCUAGGUCCUGACCAAAAAGAGUCUUCUCCAAGAUCACAUCAUAAUUUUCCAGGGCAAAGACACCUCCAAUAUCAGCAAAGCAUUUUCUACCUAAAUACUAUACAUGCAGUGGAGUCACAGGUACACAGUAGGUACACAUACAGGCAAUGUUUUGAGAUGGAUUGUUUAGCCAUAUUUAUGGUUAAAAAAGUAAAAUGGUUCAGAGAGAUGAAGCAACUUCCCUAAGGUCACAUACAAGCAAGUUAUCAAACUGUAACAGGCAAACUGAUGCUGAAACAUUGCUCUUUAUCUGCUCACAUACAAGGUUAUCCUUCCUUCAUAUUUCCUAGCAAUUUUAAUUUUUUAAAAAAAUUUUCAUGUGUGGUGGUCUGGACACAUUUAUUCACAUAUUUGUUAAGUGUUUCAAGCUGAUAUUUAUUUUCUAGAACCAUAAAUAUUACAACAACCAUUCAUCCAACAUUUUCUAUGGGCAGCACCAUACUUAGUGUUCUAUAGAGUCUUUAUCUUUUGAUUUUCAAUACUGUCCUGUGAAGUAGAUACUUUAUGUCCUAGGUGAGAAAAAUGGGGCUUAGAAACAGACUCACACUCUGGCUCAAUUGGAGGUGGAAUUUGAACUCUGGCUCAUUUGGAGGUGGAAUUUGAACUCUGGCUCAUUUUGUUCCAAAGAUGAUCUGCACCUUGAUUACUAAUGAGUCUAGUUUCACGCACAGGCUGAAGAAUAAGAAACUGGAAGAAAUAAAUCUUUUGAAAUCUUCUCAUCUUAAUUCUAUAGAGACAGAAAGUAGACUGGGCAGGGAGGGAGGAAUGGAGAAUGGAGAGUGACCGCUUAUUGGUACAGGGUUUCCUUUUGGGGUGAUGAAGAUUCUGUGGAACUAGAUGAGUUGGUGGUUGCCCCGGAGUGUGAAUGUACUAAGUCCACUGAACUGUUCACCUUAAAAUGGUUGAUUUUGUUGUUGUUGUUAUGUAAAUUAGAAAGAAAGAAAGAAAGGAAGGAAGGAAAAAAAUGGAGGGAGGGAGGGAGGGAGGGAGGAAGAAAACAGUCCCCCUUUUGGGCAGGUGAGUUCCCAAACAAGGACUUGGCGAUUUUUUAGAAACCUAGCAUGCAAUGCCUGCCAUGUCUGUCUCAUAGGCCUGGCCGUACCCUGAUCAGCAAGGCUGGCUCCAGCCGCUCAGGCAGCCAUUAGGGUUCUCCAGAUAUUCCACUGCAAAAGCGUCCAGGUCUGUUUCUUCUUUCCGUAACCUCACACCCUGUCAUCAGAAAUGGACUCUCUCAUUUGCUGUUCCCCGUGGCACAGGCCUGGCACUUCCUGGGUUCUUGAUUCCUGAUGGUUGAAUAAAUGAGUUUUGGGAAUUUGGAAGGACAGACAACCCACAUACAGCAGUUACGGGCCACAGUGUCAACCCUCUUUGGCGGAGCUGACCGUGGAUCUCUUGUUCUUCUUGGGUUGAUCUAUUUUAAGAGCCAUGAGGUUUGAGUGGCUUGUGGGAGGAUGCAGGAAAGAGAGGAAGGCGUGGCUCAGAGAUAGGCCAUGGCUCCUCCAAAUAGAAGUGUUCUGUUUAAAUAGAAAUGAGGAGUUGUUUAGACCUUUGCAUGUAAGUGGAGUGAUGACCAUGCUCCUCUCUUAACUUCCAGAACAUCUUCAUAACAGAAUAUCUGAUAUUGACAAGGACUUGACAGUUAAGGUAAAUGGAAGAGGGAAAAGAAAGCUACUCUUUACUGAGGACUAACCACGUGCUUGAUAAUAUACCAGAUACUAUACACACCGUAUCCCCUCUAUGUACCAUUGAGGGACACUGAUGCUCAGUGACAUCAAGUAACUAUCCCCAUGUUCACACACCUGGUAAGUGAUAGAGCUAUUGCUCCGGUAUCUGGAGAGGUGAUGACCUUGACAGUUUGCCUCUGGAAAAGAGAAUAUUUGCACUAAACUCACUGCUUAUACUUUGAGUAGUGAUUCUUGACCAUUGGUCUGGCACAACUAGCAUUUGGACUGAUUCUGUAGAGAAUCGAGGGCGAAAGGCCUCUUUUAUAACCUCUUGCCUCAUUCAGUCUUUACCCUGGCAGAGCUGACGGGGACCUAGCACUUUGUCCAGCCUAUCUUUUUACAGACCCUCUUAUCAAAUUCAGGGGACCUGUGAUACUGGAUCUCCUUACCUUGGAUCUCUCAUCAUCUGCUUGGUCAGCAAGAGGUCUGAGAUGCCCUUUGGGGGUGUUCAACUGGACAAGGUUUUCCUCAGGGUGGGGCUGUUGGACUGUGGUUGGUUUGAAGUACAGUGGUGGAUCAAGGUAGGUUGUGUCAAACUGAAAGCCAGAGGGACUUGUCACUUCCUGUCAUCACCCCAUGGGUGGCUCCACCCCUAUGCUAAUGGCCUGAGUGGAGAGACCCUGGGUAUUUGACUUAACCAGGGAUGAAUUAGUAAAUAUCACUCAGCUCAAUUGGCCAACACUUGGCUCCCUCGAGUGUCUUGGUGUUUGCAAUUCAAACUGACUCCAGGGUACAAUGACCUCACCAGGCCUCAGAUACUGUCUCAUUCAUUCAUCCUUCUUGGGGGCUUCUCCUUUUUUUCUUUAUCCCUUUCAACUAAAGACAGACCCUCCACCUCCAUUAGAAAUAACUCUUCACCAAAUUUCCCAUGUUUCCUCCAUUCAUGCCUCUAGCCACAUCUGAGUGCUUCCCUUCCUGUCCACCUUGGUUCAACCAACUGAAUGGGAUGACUGGUCUCUCCACAAAGGUGGAUAAGACACAGACUACAGUUGGGAAAAUGAUUUGGUGAUAGUGACACUGGUUGACAUGGGUGUGAUCAUCAUCUUUGAUUGCGCCUGGAAAAGAGCCCGUUGGCUAUAAAGCCAGGAGGUUGGGGACCACUCAUCCUUGAGGUUCUAGCAUCCCAUACAGCUAUCUUAAUCUACUCCCGCCUACAUUAACCUCUCCCUUCUUCAAACGUAUAAGAUCAUCCCACACACUGAUCCAUCCUGGAAGUAUAUUUCCUGUUAAGAUAGAUCCAGAAGCCCCCAGAGUCAGGAGCUGUAUAUUCUGUCUGUCCCUCAACACGUGGCACAGUGCUGAACAGAUAAGUGCAAGAUAUUUGUUUGCCUUGUUGCAUAAGUACAUUGAAAGGGCAGAAGGUACAUAUGCCUCGUCACACACAUAUUUCUCAAGUCUACCGAGGGCUGCACAAACUGAGCACCAUCCCACAGAGCACUCAUCUCCAAAUAUUGUGACUGCCUGGGAAUUGACAUUAUCUCCUGUGAGACUAGGGACUCCAAGUGUGCUUUCUCUAAGCUGCGCAUGCUGCCUGGCACGUAGUAGGUGCUCUCAUGCCCAAGUGCAUGCAUUGUGAGUGACCUCACUUAGGUGGAGCAGCUUAGUGUAGACCCUACUGGUGUGAAGCCCCUGUCUGUGGCAUUCCUGAGGGAGAUUCAGCUGUGUCUCCCUCUGAGACACAUUGUGUUCCUUGUGGGAUUGAGUUCUGCGACCAGUUUCCUCUAAUGCGCUCCCCUCCCUAGUUGCCUUUCUCUGAACUUUUGCCAGUGGUAAGCAAAAGGAGGAGGUGACGCAGUGACCAUGGGUUCCCACUGUACCUUGGGCUUUAGGCUAGGUGACUUGGAAUCCAGAAGCUAGGACACCCUCCCUGCUCAAGUGUUCACAGCACAGGGAGGCCUGUUGUCACAGAGAUGUCCACAGAAUCACAGGAUGCCUCGAUGAGAUCCAAACCCGAGGAAGAUCUCAUCCGGCUUCAUUUUUCACAACCCUCCUGUGCUCUAGUUCCUGUCGCUUUUCCUGUGCAACUCAGCAAUAGAGAGAUCUCCCAUGGCUGUGCUUGAGUUCCUGAAUGAUUCAUUAUGGAGUGUCCGCUUGCAGCCAGGGAACCAUCCCAAACUUAAAUCUCACCCCUUCUCUGCCACUGUCUUACAAAUUGGAGCUGUUGGGCUCAGCCUAGCAAUUGGGCUAGAAGAGAGAGAUGCGGGAGGUUAAUCACUUAGCUUUUCAAUUUUCCUUUUAAUUAUUUAAACAAUCAGAGUGAAUUUCUCCAUGGUAUGGAAAUUACUGCUCAGCUACCCGCUAGGGUUUUAACAGGGCUCCCUUUGGUAUUGCUGUCUUCCUGCUCUGCCUGCAAGUGGAGUCUUUGUAGAAAUGACAAGGAGGCCAUUAUCCCAUCUGCCUGGGGACAUGCUUGUCCCACAGGAUGUGUGUGCUUCAGAGAAGGCUGGGAACCAGGGCCCUGGGUGAAGAGAGCAAACCUGUGCCUCAUCACCUGAUUAACAUGUGGUGGUGGCCUAAGUGCCCAGGCACUGGUGAGUGGUUGGGAAGGUACAAUCUAUAGGUUCAAAGGUCAGGUUCAAACACCAGCUUCUGUUCUCAGCUACUUGGAGGUAAUGUCGAAAGAUGCAUGUUCAGGGCCCCUUUGACCCUAUGACUCAAGCUUCACCUUUGCUCUGGUUCCUUAUCUGUUAGAAAAAUGAAUGAAAAAGCUUUCCACCCCCAGAGCUGCUGUUCAGGCUGGAUUGCUGCAGCUGGGAUGUAUUUUACACAAUAGCUUGAGCACUUGGAAAGGUUGUAUGUGGACUGUGGUUUGGGUCAUGGUUCACAUCAAAUGCACCAACCCAGGUGGUAGAACUUUCUAAGUGAUCUGUCUGAGUCAGAGGUAAGAUAAUAUGGAGUUGAAUUUAUUAUGGGUUGGUAAACAAAACACAUUUCAGAUUAAACAAGAAUUAAUAUCAAGAGUUACUUUGAUACUAUCAAGAGUUACUUUUGCUAAUAAGACCUUAUCGUAACUCCCUAAUGAAAGCUCACCUACCUGCUAUGUCUCCAGUCCUUACUCUGCCUUAUUGCUGCUGUCCCAUAAUUCUCAAACAAUAGAAUUGGGGUCCAAGCUUGGUUGUCAAUCUUCUCCGUAGAAGAUAAUCCCAUGUGGGCUGGCUUUUUACUGCUGUAUUUUAGGCUCCAGGAAUGAUGCCUGAUACACAGUCAAGCUCUUUUAUAUCUUUUGAUCGAAGACUCCAAACAUUCUGGAAAAUACAUUCCUGAUUUCUCUUCUUCCUUUUUUCUUUUCCUAUGAGGAUUAUCCUUUCAGAAACACAAAUGCAUUCAUGAUUCAUCACAAUUGAGAGCAUAACUGUAUACAGUUGUCCACAUAUUUUUCCUUCCUACUUGGCAAUAGAUCCUGGAGCUCUUCUUCUAUCAGUACAUAUAAAUCAAUUUGCCUGCCAAGACUUCCAUUAUGUAGAAGGGUUAUAAUUUAUUUGGUUUCCCACCUACAGGCAGGCUUUCCUAGGCUCUUGCAAUUCCCAAUAAUCCUAUAGCUUUAAUGAUGACAAGUGUCAUAGCUAAGACCUGAGACCAGCUGAUAUGUGUAGUUCUAAGCACUUCACACAUACACGCAUUCCUUAAGUCAUAGUGAUGGCUUUAUGAGGAAGAUUUUAUUAUGGCCAUUUUGCAGAUGAGAAACCACAGAGGUUAGGAUAUUUACCACUGGUUAUGAGUCAGAUGGUCAAGAAGGGUUUGAGCCCAACUACUCUGACUCAAGAGCCUACAUCCUUAACAAUACUUUAUAUAUGGCACAUGAUGCAUUUUACAGAGCUGAUGUCUUUCUACAGGAUGAAUUGAUGGUAGAAUCAUUAUGUUGUAGGGCAUGCAUUCUUAAUUGUGGUAGAGGCCAAUGGGUACAUCUCUAAGUGGCUGCACCACAUUUAUUAUUCCACAGUUAACAUUGCACUGUUUCAUCUUUGCUAAUCUAAUAGAUAGGGUAAAGGCAUUUCAUUGAAAUUUGCAUUUUUAAAAACUGUAAGCAAACUUGAAUGUCUUUCCCUAAUUUUAAGUAGCUGUUUUUUUUUUACUUUCUGUUGAUACCUUCUGCCUCUGUUUUAUUGGAUUAUAUUUUGUUUAAAUUGACAUCUAAGCAGUCCUUAUUAAGGAAAUUAGCUUUUUUGCCUUUCUGGAACAUUUGAUAUUUUUCCCAGUUCAUCUUUUGACCUUAUAUCUGGAAUCUUUUUUGCAAGGCAAAUAUUUUUAAAAACUCUUUGGUAAUUAAACUCGCCAACAUUUCCACUUCUAGAGUUUAGCUUUUAUGUCUGUCUUGAAUCUUCCCAUACCAACAUUAUGAAAAAAAAACUUUUUUCUCUGUUUUUUUUUUGACCCCAAAUAUUUUUACAGUUUUUGUUGUUUUAUAUUUAAGUCUUUGAUCCAUCUCCCGCUUACGUUUGUUGCAGAAGACCAAAAAAAAAAUUUUAUUUAUUUUCUCUCUGAAUGAUUGGCCAGUUGUCUCAAUACAUUUAUUGUAAGGGAUUUUUUUUAAUUCAAAAUGUAAUUUGGUAUAUGGUAAUAGUAUCUACUAGGUGUACUUCAGGAUUAUCUUGCUAAAUAGAUUUGUCUAUUCAUGACCAAUAGAAGUUUUUAUAUCUCUAUAAUAAAUAUGCACAUCAGGUGAUGUUUGCUCAUUUGCUACCUUCCAAUUUCUAUUAUUUAUUUUGACUCUCUUUGUUUCAUUUUUCUUGGUGAAUAUCAGACUUAAUUUUUUUGUUGUUCCCAAGAAAAUCCUAUUGGUGUUAAUAAGAGUUACAUCAAGUGUAUGGGAGAUGGGAUGUGACUAUUUCACGUAUAUCCUUCCAUUUUUCAAGCAUUGUCAUAGUUGCUUCAGACCUCAAGGUUUUUUUUAAUAUAGAUUUUAUACAUUUGUUCUUAUAUACACUGAUACGAACAGCAUAUUUUCCAAUGAGUGAUUUGUAUGAAAUAGAGAAAAGCUAUUGACUUCCUGAGUGCUAGUUUCAGCACCUGGCCACCUUAUUGAAUUAUCUCAGUCAUUAUACAAACAACAUUAAUUGCACCUUAUUUCCUUCUGGGGUUUUAUCGGUUGCUUUGUUGUUAUUUGAUUUUACAUUUGAAGUGGAAUAUGUGCCCACAGAUUUUCAUCUCAGCUCUGACUGAACGUUGAGCUGUUUUCGAUUUUUGAAUGCUUUUAAAUAGCCUAGGUAUCUCUGAUUCUCUUUCUUCGGGAAUAAGAAAGAAAUUUUGAGCAGGCUUUCUCUGACUUCAUUUUGUGAAAAAUGAUUACUGUCUGAAAUCAUGUUAUCUUUUAUUUUAUCUUUUAUUUCCCUGGUAGAAGAUAACUACUUGUGAUAUAGGAAAGUAAGCUGGUGUUAAGAAAUGUUUUUUUAAAAAGCCCUUGGCCCCCAGGCUCUGAGGAAACUGGGUGAAGGAUCUUGCAACAGAACACAUGCCUGGCUCACCUUCAUUGCCCAUGAAGGACAAGGUUAUCAGGUCCUUCCAGGUAUGCUUGGGAUGCUAUUGGCCUGCAACUUCCUGUUGACAUUUUGCCAUCCCUUUGUCCAGAAAUAUGGACUAUGUGGCUGAUGAUUGAGAUAGAAGACUAAGUUGAUGGUGGCAGGAUUUUAAGGAAAAUAACAAUGGAGGUUGGGUUAGACAUGGAAGGCCCAGCCAAGAGAACCAAACUUUCAUAAGCAGCCUCCUAACACCUAGUGUGGAACAAUGCGUGAAUCACUAGGUAUGAAAAUUUAGGGACUCUGGUCUCCCUUUUAAUGAGGUUUCUGUCACCACAGGAUGAGCUCACACAUACAUGAAAGUAAAGAAACCAAUUAAAUCCAAUGAGCUUGUGCCACUUUCUAGAAGGCAGUUGUUUUUUUUUUAAAUGCUUAUAAUUAUAAUUUAUCCUUAUUGCACAGAAAAUAAUUAGCUCUCCAGACCUAAAACAAAGAUAAUUUGCCUUGUUGUCUGUAGAAUUCCAGAAACUCAGGAAUGGUUUAUUUCUUGGCUAGAACUUUCUGCCCAUUUAAUAAUGCAGAUAACUUCAUUCUGGUUCUUCCAAGUCUGAAGAGGAAGUUUCAUCCUGAGUGGUCUUUGAUGUGUAUUAGAAACACAUUCUUUUCAGCAUCUACUAAUCAUAAAUCAAUAAAUACCUUUCCAAAUAUUGAUUUGGGAGGACCCAUCUCAGGAUUGGCCAGAGUAACUUUUUUUUUUUUUUUUUUUUUUUGGUGUAUGGAAUCAAACCCAGGUUGCAUGUGCUCUACCACUGAGUCCCAGAGUGACUUUUGAUGGUCUAAGAUUUUGGAGUUUGCAGGUGAGGUAAAAUGUGUUAAACUCAAGUAUUUUAGAAUGGACAAGUCUACACAGGUGCAGAGGCAUGCACCUGUGAUUCCAGCAACUGGGGAGGCUGAGGCAGGAGGAUUCUAAGUUUGAGAUUUUAGCCUGGGAAACAUAGAGACCCUGUUUCGGGAUGGGGGGUGGGACUUAAAAAACGUGGGACUGGGUUUGUGGCUCUAUGGUAAAGUGCCCCUGGGGGUUUAAUCCACAAUACCACAUAAAAGUGUGUGUGGGGGGGUGAGUCCAAUCUAGAAUAUUUAUUAUACAAUCACUUAUUAACAGUUUAUUACAUGGCAGGCAUGGCUUAGGCACGUAAACAAAACAAACAAUUAGAAUAUCAGUUCAGUAGGGAUGAUGGAUGAUAAGGAGAACAGGACUAUUUCAGUGAAUGAUGUCAUGGAGGAGAGAAAGCCAGGUCUGUGAUAGGCGUAGAAGAGGAAAGGGCAGCAUUGAUAGGGUGAGCAGAGAGCAAACCUCUGAGGAAGUGAGGUUUCAGGUGAGACCUCGCCCUAUAAGAAUGCACGACCAUAUCAGAUCUGGGGAACAGUAUUCCAGGCAAAGAGAUGGGAAAAUACACAGACUCUGAGGUGAGUCUCUGAGUAGAAUAUCUAUAGCAAAAAUACCAUCUAUUUUUUUUAUGGCUGAGUCAAAUCUAUUAUGUUUAUAUACCACAUAUUCUUUAUCUAUUCAUCUGUUGAUAGGCCCCUGGGCUGGUUCCAUAACUUAGCUUUUGUGACUUACACUGCUAGUUAUAUAUAAUAGUGGGGUUCAGUUUUGCAUAAUCAUACAUGCAUGGAAUAUAAUGUGCUCCAUUACAGUCCCCAGUACUUCCUCUUUCCCUCUUCCUCUUCCUGGUGCCCUCUCCCUCCCCCUUCCCCUGACACCCUUCCUCUAUCUUACUUGGGUUCCUUCUGUUUACCCUGUUUUUAAAAUUGAUGUUCUAUAGUUAUACAGAAAGAAGGAAUUCACCACGGUGUAUUCAUAUAUGUACAUGGCAAAAUUUGGUAAAUUUCAUUCCACAGUUUCUCCCUUUUCCCUCCCUCCUCCUCCCCAUCAAUUAGCAUGAUGGUCUCUAGUUCCAUCUAUUUGCCAGCAAAUGCCAUCAUUUCAUUCUUCUUUAUGGCUGAGUCAAGUCUAUUAUGUUUAUAUACCACAUAUUCUUUAUCUAUUCAUCUGUUGACAGGCCCCUGGGCUGGUUCCAUAACUUAGCUUUUGUGACUUGCACUGCUACAAACACUGGUAUGCAUGUAUCACGGUAGUAUGCUGACUUUAGUUCUUGUGGAUAAAUACCCAAGGAUCGUACCAUCUUUUAAAAGGACUGAGUUACCAAAAGAAAUUCAUUUUUAGCCUAUAGGGAUAGUCUGAAUAAUUCAUAGCAAUAAACAGAGUUGGCCAAAAACUUGAAUGGAAGAAUGGAAAGCACCAUUGAGGGAUUUUGUUCAAAGAAAAUGAAAUUUAAUGAAGAAAAUGCUUCCCUGAACUCACAAAGGAGCAAAAUCCAAAGCUGAAUAGGGGAUGGUCAAAAUCUAGGUGGCAAGACUGAUCUCGGUAGCUUGUGGGGAGGUGUGGAGGUGGAAGGUGUCCUUCGACUGGCUUGGAAAUAAAACAUGCUAGGAGCCAGGAAAUGAGUCACUCUGGCUAUGGCCAUCCAUGCCCCCGAGAAGGCCCUGAUGAUGAACCUCCUGAGCUGCGGGGGCAAAGGCAUGUUGCUACCAACACAUCAAAAAGCUUUGCAUUUGGGGUCAUCCUAAUGUGCAUCAAGUUCACUCAGCCAUGUACGGAGACCGGGAUGGGAGCUCCCAGACACAGCAUAACAGAACUCUUUCCUCUUUUCUUUCCCACCAUCACAUUUCUCUUCCCCAUUUUUCCCCCCAAUGAAGCGUAACAAUAAAGGGAAGAGGAAAUGCCAUCAUACCAACUUCUGAUAGAGAUUCUGUGGAGCCCAAGAACCAGAAUUGUAAUCUGAGUCACACAGGACACAUGACAAGAGGGGCAUGGCUUUCCCGCCUCAUUUAUUUAAGCAAAUCUGGAAAUGUUCCCAGAUUCUGAAGGUUAGAAUGGUAUCAGGGUGUCCCCAUCCAGCAAUGUUGUGACCUGUGGGUCCCACCUGCCCUCAUGCCUUUACUUUCUCCCAUUUAAAGAGUGACAGAGUCACAUGAAGUGGUUGAAAAUCCUUUCUAGGGGCUGGGGUUGGGGCUCAAUGGUAGAGCACUUGCCUAGCAUGUGUGAGGCACUGGGUUCGAUUCUUAGCACUGCAUAUAAAAUAAAAUAAAGGUCCAACAAAAUAAAGGUCCAAAAACUAAAAAAAUAAAAAUAAAAAUAAUUAAAAAAAGAAAGAAAAUCCUCUCUAGUGCUAGUGUCAUAAGGUUAAAAAUGUGGGACAUUCAAAAUAGGGAAAAGACAACCAAAGAAUGGGAAAAAAAAAACAUUGCAAUAUUCUGAUAAGGUUCUAGUAUCUGGAGUAUAGAAAGGAAUCUCACAAAUCACAACAAAAAGACAACCCUCUUUUAAAGAAGCCAAAGAAUUCAAAUAGACAUUUCUUCAAAGAACAGAUACAUCACAAGUGUAGUAAAAUACUUCCAAAUUCAAUACUUUACACUGGUUAAUUCUAGUAUAAUUCUAGUACAUGGAUUUUUAUUUCACUUUUUUAAAAAUGUUCAUCUUCUCCUCAAAUUGGAUAACUGGUCAGCAAUAGGAAACUGAGUAAGCUAUCACAGUCGUGAAAUAAAUACAGCCUUCAAGAUCUUCUACAAAUAAAAUCCCUUGUAGAUGUAGGCAAGUCCUUUCAUUCUCAUGAAACUGGGGUCUUGAAACUUGUAAAUCUCUCCUUCCUUCGUAAUGCAGUGGUCGGUCUCGCUCUCUCUGUGGACAAUAGGACCCAAAUCUGUGUAAAAGGAAGAGUCAAGAAUUGACAGAACAUGGUCCAAAUUAAACAGGGAGAUAUGUUCUUAUUUAUCUCCCAACUUUUAAAACUUGCCACUAGUUAAAAUUGAGGUUUUACAAUAUUCAGUCCUCUGGGUUAUCUAGGGAAAAAAAAAAAAAAAAAAAACUGACAAUGUGGUGACCCUGGCCCACAUGACUAUGUGGUAACAAUCAGCUGAGAUUGACAGCAGGUGCCCCCUUGAGACCAGUCAAGGAUUCUCUGUCCUUUUUAUCCCACUGGGUUACCUGCCAGGUUAUUAGCCCUUCCUCCUCCCCUCUUACCGCCCCCCUUCACCACUAAUGAAGAGAAGCUUCACCUUUAGAAGCUACUCUGAAGAUCUUAUGAAGUCCCCCCCAUUAAAAUGUUAACUUUGCCAUCUGGAGGAAAGGGCAGAAGUCCAUGGUGCCACAACUUGUUCCCAUAGUGGAGAAGAGGGGUACAGGUAAGGAUCCCUUAAUUUGCAGGUGGGACAGAGGCCGAGGGGAAAAGCCCAGAUGAUAAGAUCUCGCCAGGCUGGUGGCAGUGUCCCAGCCUGUGGGGAGGGAUGGGGGGCCGAGUACAAAGCAGACUUCUUCUCUCCUUUGGCACUCCCUCUUACUCUGUCACAAUUUACACUGGGGCUGUCCCCCUUCCCAGGUUGGAGUGGCCGGCCUAAAAAUGGUGUCCUGUACGCUGUCUCCUGAAUGCUUUGCCUCCUAGAGUGCCACUCCACCCUACAAGUCCAGGUACCACAAGAACUCCCAGCUGUCCUAUUCCUGCCCAGUGAUCACAAUAGUGCCCUUGUUAUGUAACCCAGCACCCGGGGUCCUUGCUUUUGUUUUGCCCUCUUUUUCUUCCCCCAAAUGCAAUGUGGAAGGAAACAAGGAGGUGGGGAUUAUCAUUCCAGUCUCUGGGAGUUUAGGUGUCCUUUACAAAAUGGAAAGGGACUACCCCCAAGUCAGGAAAUAACCAAUAAGGGGCAGAAAAAUUCCUGCCCCACAAAAUUUGUAGACCUAAUAAGGCUUUUCUUAGAUUAGAGUGAAGUGUUUCCCUUUACGGAGAAGUUUCCAGAUGCCAGCUAGUGGCCGCUUUCCCAAAGCUCUAAGGGCAGUUAUGAUCUUGAUCUGAUAAAACUUUUUACUGGGCUUGUUUUGCUCUUCUGAUUUUUGAGUAGGAAUGUUUGGCCUCUUCUCUGAAAUAUUGUUCCACCAAGCGUUGUCGUGAACUUGAAGAAUGCAAGUGGUGAACUUCAUUUGCUGUCAUCUGUAAGGUGCCAAAUUCAGACUCCUUGAACACUGGGAUUAGAAUCUAUCUGAACAAUUAGUUGUAAUCUUACAGAUUUUACUAGAGAAGCCACAAUGGGAAAUAGUGUGUGGAUUUGGACAAGUCACUUUAUCCUUUGGGAGCUUCCAUUUUUCUCUUCUGUGAAAUAAAACUUCACAGCAUUGGCUGAAUUAAAUGAACUGAACCAUGCAAAAGCCCCAGCCCAGUCCCUGGGCACGGUCAGUGCUCAUUUGCUGUUAUGCUUAUCCUAACCAAGACUGAAAGUAAUGAGACAACAGCAGGGGUAUAUUCCUAGGACGUGCCCCAAAGUUAGUUCCUCCUAUUGGAAUGGUUUGAAGCUGAAUGUGGCUGGGAACUACAAGUUGGGUUGGGGAAGCUUCUGUGGAUUUAGUUCCUUGAGAUCUUUUCCUGUUCUAAAUCUUCAGGGCUUGCCCUGUGUUGAGUCCACUUGCCAGCACCCUUUCUGAGUACUGGCUAACGUUUGCCUCGUGGAAAGCUGAUUCCUUGGGGCUCCCCAGGGCAGAGGAUAUUGAACACAGAAAAUUGUAAUGCUGUUGAUCUCAGAGAACCUCUUGACGCUCAAAAAGAGAAAGCAAUAUGCAAGGCAUAUCUGGCAAACAGGAAACGUCCGUAGUGCAAAAUGAUUUAUUUCUAAAACCUAUGACGUCACCUCUCCGGAGCUCUGCUCUUCUGUUUGGUUUAUACCGGGGAAAUCCAAUGGGAAGAGUCCUCCUGACCCUCUAUCGGGCUGGGCUGGGAAGGCUGCCUGGUGCACCCUUCUCUACCAGCUUAUGUUGGGUCCAGAAGGCCUUCUCUGGACUCUGUGGGCCAAAAGUAAAAGGGCAGUCAUUUCUCAAAAUUGCCUGGGAAAUGAUUAACUGGUUUCCUUUGAUCCCUUCUGCCUUGUGCCAGGACAGUCAAGUGGCCCGGGGUGGAGAACACACUCUAUUCUUUCCAACAUUACUAAGGUAAAUAUUGGAAGCAAAGCCACUCGAGAGAUCUAGCUCUAUUUGGAGAAUUUGAGUGUGUGUGUGUGUGUGUGUGCGUGUGUGCGUGUGUAUGUGUGUGAAACUUCUGUAAACAGAAGUAUUGAGUAAAAAAAUAUACUGCCACUUCCUCUAACUUUUUCUUUCUCGCUAUUUUUUUUUUAAGGUCUGA
rnacentral:lncRNA from 1 species